rnacentral:rRNA from 1 species
CAGUCGCCGCGGGAAUACGUAGGUGGCGAGCGUUGUCCGGAAUUAUUGGGCGUAAAGGGAGCGCAGGCGGACAUAUAAGUCCAUCUUAAAAGUGCGGGGCUCAACCCCGUGAGGGGAUGGAAACUGUAUGCCUUGAGUGCAGGAGAGGAAAGCGGAAUUCCCAGUGUAGCGGUGAAAUGCGUAGAUAUUGGGAGGAACACCAGUGGCGAAGGCGGCUUUCUGGACUGUAACUGACGCUGAGGCUCGAAAGCCAGGGGAGCGAACGGGAUUAGAUACCCCCGUAGUCCCUGUCUCUUAUACA